AGUGAACGCUGGCGGCAGGCCUAACACAUGCAAGUCGAGCGGCAGCGCGGGGGCAACCCUGGCGGCGAGCGGCGGACGGGUGAGGAAUUCGUCGGAAUCUGCCUUUUUGUGGGGGAUAACGUAGGGAAACUUACGCUAAUACCGCAUACGUCCUACGGGAGAAAGUGGGGGACCGCAAGGCCUCACGCAGAAAGAUGAGCCGACGACCGAUUAGCUAGUUGGUGGGGUAAAGGCCCACCAAGGCGACGAUCGGUAGCUGGUCUGAGAGGAUGAUCAGCCACACUGGGACUGGGACACGGCCCAGGCUCCUACGGGAGGCAGCAGUGGGGAAUAUUGGGCAAUGGGCGCAAGCCUGAUCCAGCCAUGCCGCGUGUGUGAAGAAGGCCUUCGGGUUGUAAAGCACUUUUGUCCGGAAAGAAAUCCCUGGAGCUAAUACCUUCGGGGGAUGACGGUACCGGAAGAAUAAGCACCGGCUAACUUCGUG
rnacentral:rRNA from 1 species